rnacentral:lncRNA from 1 species
CCGUCCUUCUUUUUUCAGAGUCAUUACUGCAGAAUUAUGUGUGUGUGUAGAUAUAUAUUUGUUGUUGUUGAUCCUACGUGAAGUAGUGGUCUUUCAUUUAUAAAAGUCUUUGCUUACAGAAGUAUUAUAGAAAAUAAUUCUGAAAAUUUAAGUAGAAGCCUCAUUUUAUCUAAUAUUUGUUUUCCCUCCUGUUUUUAUAUCUAAAACAGGGGUCUGCAUACUUUUUCUGCAAAAGGCCAGAUGGUAAAUAUUUUAGGAUUUGCAGCUACACGAUCACUGAAUCAACUACUCAACUCCUGUUUCAGUGCAAGAGCAGCCAUAGACAAUACAUAAAUGAAUGAGUGUGGCUUUGUUCCGAUAAAACUCUGUUUACCAGAACAGAUGGCAGCCAGAUAUAGCUCAAUGGCCAUAGUCUGCUAACCUCUGGUCUAGAAUAUUUAAUAGAACAGAUAUUUUUCUAUGUGUGGUUUUUGUUUGUCUCAUUGGUUGAUUAGUUUGGGGUUUUGUGUUUUGUUGUUUUGUUUUUUGGGUUUUUUUUUUUUUUUUUUUUUUUUGCCAAAAACGUGAAGUUGUUUCCAGGCUUCCUUAGCAGGUCCCUCUCCUUCAUCUGUUCCACAAAUGCUGAUAUUUCAAAGAAUAUUCUUUUCCUUUGGCCUCCUUUUGGGGGGAUAAACCUUUUAAAUCAUCCCAAUGACUUCACUUAUCAUUUAAGAAAUGAUGUCUCUCAAAAUCUGUCUUUGGUUCAGAUCUUUCUCCUAAAUGCCAGAGCACCAUACCCAACUCUAUAUAAAAUCUUGUACCCAAUGGCCCAUCUAUAGACGUCUUAAGAGUGCAUCAACCUAAACAUGUUCAAAUUAGAAAUUGUUUUCUUUCCUACCAGUUUACCAUAUCUCCUAUUUAGCUAUAAGAAUAUAGCUAUUCCUUGAGGUUCCCUAAUUCUUUUCUUUCCUUCCUUUGCCAUGUCAACUUUUGCUGAUUCUAAAUGGCUCUCAACUCUUUAGCUGCUUCUUCAUCUCCACCAUCUCCACCCAAAUUUUUUGUCUCAUUGUCGCCUUCCUGAAAUAUUAUGAGCAUAUACUCAUUGAUCCCCUACUCUUCAGUCUUUUUUUCCUUCUACAGAAGUAGUACAUCAUGUGCUGUCAGCUAUUUUUCUGAAACGUAUCCUUUCAACUGAAGAUCUGCGAUUAUUUCCUUUUCCUACAAAAAGAUCAUUGUAGAAUAACAAGCCUUCCCAGAGGCGAUCUACACACCGUGCCUGAAUUCCCUUUGCCUCUCUUCACUCCUACCCUAUCUCCCCCGGAAUUCUAUGCUGGCAUCAUAUUGGACAGCACCUCUCCUUUCCCAGACAGCCCAAUAUCCACCUGAUAUUUUUGCAUAUUAGAUUGCAUCUUUUCUAUAUUCCACAUACUAUGCCAUAUUCUGGGCAUACAGACAUGACAAAAACAAAAAGCUCACAAGUGUGCAGUAUAACUGGGACAAUCAAAUCAAAUAAUUGUAGAGAGAGGAUUUGAGAAGCAGCACAAUAUAGUGAUUUAAACCUGGAUUAUGGAAUGAUAUU